AUUCGAUAACCUCAGAUGGACGCUGCCUCCAUCCGCUCCGCGAGUUCCACUCUGCGGACACGACAUGGCGCGGAUGGCUACUGCAAUCUGGUCUGGUGAAUCUUUGUCUCAUGCCAUCGGCGCUCGCUGAAUGAGGCCACCGCCGAGGCCAACCGUCUUAGCCGCGUCCCGAGCCAGAUCCCCGCGUCGUCGCUUCCAAGCCAGAACUGCCGCCGAGGAUGGAGCCGAAGCUCGACACAGCCUACGUCGUCUUCGCCCUCCUAUAACAUUGCACGCCAUUUUCGCCUCGCUACAGCCGCCCAAGCCAGUCGACGCUGCCGGCCGCCUACCUGACCAACCAGGUCACCCAGGAUCAUGUAGAAGAGCGCCGAUUCUCCGUGCCAGUGCAUUGCCUGCACGCAACAACUCGGUGCGGGGAGGUGCCUAGGCCGGAUUUCAGUAGGUGUUAUAUUCCAACUCCCAAGGAAGUAAGAACAUGAUAACAAGAAUUCCAGCCCUUCCUUGUUCAGUUGUUCUUCUAUUGAUCGGAAUGGUGCUGUGCUUGGUGUAUAUGUGAAAAGGUGGCAUCAAUUUGUCUGAGAAGAAAUUGUCCUAUCUUGUUUGGAUCAUGUACAAUUAUGAGAUGGAAUUGUUCAGUAAUGUACUUGGUUCUAUUCA